UUUUUUGUUUUUGAGGUAAAUGUUAUUUUUUUUAUAAAGUGGAAACACUUAAAUGAUAAUAAAUAUAAGAUAAAAUUUUAGUGAAUAAAAUUUAAUUUAAUUUAUAAUACAUAGGAUAUAUUAAAUUAAUAAAUUUAAAGUAUUUUUUUAAAGAAAAAUUAGUUUACAAAAUUACAAAUACUUAAAUUAAUGAUAUAAUUUUUAUUAUGAAUUAAGAAUACCCUUUAUGUCAUUUUACAUUUAUCAGCUAGUUGAACCGCUAUUUUUACCAAACACUUCAGUUAGCUUAUCAGCUAAAAGUAUGUUCUAUCAGCUAGCUUAUCAGCUAAAAGCUAUCAGCUAGCUUAUC
rnacentral:lncRNA from 1 species